rnacentral:rRNA from 1 species
UACGGAGGAUGCGAGCGUUAUCCGGAUUUAUUGGGUUUAAAGGGUGCGUAGGCGGCUUUUUAAGUCAGCGGUGAAACUUUGCAGCUUAACUGUAACAGUGCCGUUGAUACUGGGGAGCUAGGAUUUGGUUGCUGUGGGUGGAAUGUGUGGUGUAGCGGUGAAAUGCUUAGAGAUCACACAGAAUAUCGAUUGCGAAGGCAGCUCACAAAGCCAAGAUUGACGCUGAGGCACGAAAGUGUGGGGAGUCAAACAGGAUUAGA